AGUCUAAUUAAGAAGUUGUAUAUGGAUUUGUUUACAGUUUUGCAGGUCUUAAGGUUCGUUGUAGCUUUAAUUUUAAUAAUCCCUUGAAGAGUUAUGGCUUCAAAGUGUAUUUUGAAGGAACUCAAGGAUCUGCAAAAGGAUCCUCCCACAUCUUGCGCUCUGGUAUAAUUUUUUGUUACUUUUCAAUUUGAACCACAUUUUAGAUUACUUAUAUUUCGUAUCAUUUGGUGAUAGGAUUUACUUGAUCUAUAUUUUGUCAAACAAAUGGGCUAUCUAGAUGGUCAACACCAUCUUUAGUUGGAAAAGAAAACAAAAGAAGAAUGGAGAAUGAGGAGUCGCAAUCUAGAAGCUAUAAAUGUUUGAAGAAGAAAUAAGAGGCACACGGCUUUGACAAAAGAAAGAAGAAAAAAUAAUAAUAUAUAAUUGAUGAAUAGUGCCAAAGCUUUCUCUAUAAAUAGAAACGAAGAGAAUGAGCAAAUUCAAUUUCAUUUUGAGAGGCAUUCAAUUUUGUAGAGAGAGUCGAGAGUUGUGAGAUAAUUCUUGCAGAGCAAAGAGUCUAGUGAGUGAGAGAUUGGGUGUAUUGGGAUUUUGGGUUGUGAGCCAAAAUAUUACAAUACUUGUAAUCCUUAUUUCACUAGUAAAAUAUUUCCUUCUGUUUUCGCCCGUAGACGUAGGCUAAAAGCCGAACCACGUAAUUUCUGGUAUCCUCUAUUGUGCUCGUUCUUUAUUUUUCUCCCAAUUUUACUUUAGCUGCGUGUCUGCUUCACCCACCAAUUUCCUAACAUAUUUGCUGUUUGUGUCAACACGUUGUUGAAAUUUAUUACGAUUGAUUCUGAAUUCUGAUUGGCUACCGAUGUAUAUCAUGCUGGAGUAGUUUCAUUGGUUGCUGGUUGUUUUCAACCUUGCCAAAGAGAGCAUGAAGUUCUGGAGCAAGCUAAGUUACAGAUUCUGUAACGUACAGAUUGUGCUUAACCAGCUACCAGACAAAAGCACUUGCUCCCUUUUUUUCUCCAUAAGCAGGACACUUGUGGUGCAUACAUUGGUGAUGUAUGUUACAGAAUCUGUCACGUAGUAACCUUCGUUCUGUUCAUGGUCACUUUUUCUUUGUACGUAUUAAAAAACUGAAUGAAUUAAAUCUGCAUUUAUUUUCUUUGUACGUUUUGUUAGGGAGCUUGGCUCGGUGGCCGGAAUUUGAAUUACUUUUCUUGGAGUUUAAUUGGAAUUUAACUAUUGUUUUAUAUUUUGGUAUUCUUUUUUUUUUUAAUUUGUAAUGAUUUAUUAUGUAUUAGGGGUAAUGACAUUGAAUAUUAGAUGUAUUUAUUUUGAAAUUAAUUUGUUGGAUUGAAUGGAUGUUAAUUAAUAUUAUUUUUUUUAUUUUUUGACAAUAUUCAUUUUAUUAAUUAAUUAAAUUUGUAAGCAGGAAUUCACAAAUAAAUUAUAAUCACAAUCUAAUUUUAAAAAAAAUUAAUUUUAUGA
rnacentral:lncRNA from 1 species